rnacentral:rRNA from 1 species
CAGUCGUACCGGCGGAUAAUCAGCCUUUCGAGUGCGAUCCUGUGGGGCGUGAAGAGUUUAACCGCCUUCAUGUUUUGCAUAUUCGUGCACAUUUGGUGUACUUGUCCGUGUGGUGGGUUAACAUCAAUUUCGGACGUCAUAAAAUGAUUGGAGGAAUGUAGCUUUGAUCUCGUAUUGAAGUGUUAUAGCCUUUGGUAGAUGUGAUUAUCGGGAUUGAGGAUUGCAACGGAUACCCUUCGGGGCUACCUGUCUGAUCUCUGAUCGUUGCUCUGGUGCCGAAAGCGUGCUUACGG